rnacentral:rRNA from 1 species
CCUACGGGAGGCAGCAGUGGGGAAUAUUGGACAAUGGGGGGAACCCUGAUCCAGCCAUGCCGCGUGUGUGAAGAAGGCCCUCGGGUUGUAAAGCACUUUCAGUGAGGAAGAACGCCUGGUGGUUAAUACCUAUCAGGAAAGACAUCACUCACAGAAGAAGCACCGGCUAACUCCGUGCCAGCAGCCGCGGUAAUACGGAGGGUGCGAGCGUUAAUCGGAAUUACUGGGCGUAAAGCGCGCGUAGGUGGCUUGAUAAGCCGGUUGUGAAAGCCCCGGGCUCAACCUGGGAACGGCAUCCGGAACUGUCAAGCUAGAGUGCAGGAGAGGAAGGUAGAAUUCCCGGUGUAGCGGUGAAAUGCGUAGAGAUCGGGAGGAAUACCAGUGGCGAAGGCGGCCUUCUGGACUGACACUGACACUGAGGUGCGAAAGCGUGGGUAGCAAACAGGAUUAGAUACCCGAGUAGUC